GGAUACGCUACGGACGAGCUACACAUGCAGUCGAGGGGUAGAAUGUCUUCGGAUAUUUGAGACCGGCGCACGGGUGCGUAACGCGUAUGCAACCUACCUCUUACUGGGGAAUAGCCCGGAGAAAUUCGGAUUAAUGCCCCAUAUGCUCGUACGACCUCAUGGUCGAGCGAGGAAAGUUCCGGCGGUAAGAGAUGGGCAUGCGUCCUAUUAGCUAGUUGGUGAGGUAAUGGCUCACCAAGGGCGACGAUAGGUAGGGGGCCUGACAGGGUGAUCCCCCACACUGGUACUGAGACACGGACCAGACUCCUACGGGAGGCAGCAGUGAGGAAUAUUGGGCAAUGGAGGAAACUCUGACCCAGCCAUGCCGCGUGCAGGAAGACGGCCUAUGGGUUGUAAACUGCUUUUGUACGAGAAUAAACCCUUCCACGUGUGGAAGGCUGAAGGUACCGUACGAAUAAGGAUCGGCUAACUCCGUGCCAGCAGACCGACGGUAAUACGGAGGAUCCAAGCGUUAUCCGGAUUUAUUGGGUUUAAAGGGUCCGUAGCGGGUUUUUAAAGUCAGUGGUGAAAGCCUACAGCUUAACUGUAGAAUUGACAUUGAUACUGGAGACCUUGAGUGUAGUACGAAACUCAGGCGGACAUAAGGCAUGUACGCGCGUGAAAUGCAUAGGAUAUGCCUUAGGAACACCGAAUUGCAAAGGCAAGCUUU
rnacentral:rRNA from 1 species